AGAGCUCCAAUCACAUUCGUUCGGGACUGAAAACACAACAGAACAAAAGAAGGGAGAGAGGAAGAAAGUCUGCUAGUACUCUGCUAGGUUCUCCAGAGGAAUCCACCUUCCUGUAACAGAUGUACGUGAAGCCAAAAGUGAAGAAACCAGGAGACCACCUUCCACAGUAAAAGCUAAUGAAAGGAAACACAGGUUUCGCAGGGCAGGUGCUUGGCACUCUUCGGGAAUAGGUAAAAGGGAAAAGGCAGAUGUUCAAGGGAAGGCAGCAAACAGCAGGGACAGAGCGUCCCUCCCCCUCGUCUGUGGAAAUCAACAGAUAGAACACCUGCCACUGUGGGAGCUCCCUCUGCGGUGCAGCUGGGAGACAUGGCUCCUGGCUGACUGCUCUGAGCUUUGCCUGUCUUCAGGGAUGGAGCCCCUCCCAGGCAAGGCAACUUCAGCCGGGUUCUUUGGCAGCCAAAGUCUACACAGACCCUGCAGGGAGCGGUGGAGAAAAGCAUAUUGAUCUUGGUGAGAGAGCUCACUCAGAGGAGUAGUCAAGAAAACAAUAUAUUGAAAAUAAAGCUAUGUAUGUGGCAAGAAAAGUAUUUAAGGUGCCCCCUUUGGUGACUUUUUGUACUAGUGCCUUUGAUCUCCACUGUAGGAAAUGCUCUGCUCCAUUUCAAAAGAGAUUGCCUUAUGCCCCAUUUGUUGGCUGUUGGAUCAAACCAGCAACAGACCUCACAGAUAGAAUUCCACCAUUGGCCAUUCACAAAGAGGUAAAUUGUAAGUCCUUUGCCUCACUUCCAAGUAUUUCUUUCAACACAGACAGUUUUUUAAAUAUCUAUUUGUUAAUAUUAACAUCUGUUUGGUUACUACUAAGGUUUAGAAUUUGA
rnacentral:lncRNA from 1 species